UGAGCGUUUGGUUACCCUGGAGAGCCGUGUGGAGUGCUGCAGUGUGGACGCCCGAGGUCUCUCCAGUACGUCCCGCUGAAGGAUCUUAAAAAUUGUACAGAAUUUUAAGAUGAGUGAUACUUCUGAAGCGAUUCCAAUUUUUGAAGAGAUGUUUGCAAACAGAUUCACACAGGAUGACAAAGAAUACCAGGAAUACUUGAAACGCCCUCCUGAAUCCCCUCCAAUUGUUGAGGAAUGGAAUAGCAGAGCUGGUGGGAACCAAAGAAACAGAGGCAACUGGUAUGUAUUAUUUCUGCAGGAUAAAUGCAGAGGGUGACCUGGGAGAAGAGAGCUUUAAUACGGCUGCUCUCAAAGCCAGAGAGAGUAGCAACCAGAACAUAGUAAGCACAUAAAUACUUUUAUGUGUCUUCUUAAAGCCAGGUACAGUGAUGCAAACUUUCAGUACUUGGGAGGCUGAGGUAGUAGGAUUAUGAGUUCUAGGCCAGCCUGGGCCAAACAGUGAGACCCUGUCUCAAACUAACAUUUUCUUUACAAAUACACUUUAUAAAACUGGAGUUUUGAGCUUGAUUUCAUAAAGAAGGCAUUGUUUUGAUUACUUUAGAAACUUUAGGAAAUGAGGUAGAAAAUGGAGUAAUUCAAAGCAAUAAAUAAAUGACCCUGAUGUCAUGCAUUCAAAGGUGUCAGUUUGAUCACAGUUGGGCUUAUUAACUUGCCUCUGUCCUGUAAAAGGUGUCCAGUGUGAUGUUAGAAAAAUCACUAAAAUCUUAGGAAAACCUGACUAGAAUCUUAGGAAAGUCUGUGUCUGUGCUGUGCCCAGAGAAAGUUUUUUCACCCUCAGUUACUGUGUAUUUUACAUCAAGAACUCAAUUGCAGUAGGAUUGAUUUCUUGUUUUUAUUUUUUAACCGGAAGUUAAUAGUUUUGUUUUCUUUUGGUAGGCUGCAAGAUAACAGACAAUUUAGAGGUAGGGAUAACAGACGAGGAUGGCCAAGUGACAAUCGGUCAAAUCAGUGGCAUGGACGGUCAUGGGGUAACAACAACUACCCACAGCAGAGACCAGAGCCCUACUAUCAACCAAAUUGCCCACAGUAUGGCCACAACCAGCGGCCUCCAUAUGGUUACUACUGACAGAUGUUGGCAGCUUUUAACAAAGACCUUUUAUUUUGACAACCUGCUAAGUGCUUGUGUGUCUUCUGUUGGUCAUAGCUUUUCAUUCUAUUUUAAAGAAUGGGUUAUUAAUUGUUUAAACUUGAGACUUGAAAAAAUUAAUCUUAUUAGAAAUGUGAUAAUUGAUGGGAAUAAACUUACCAAGUGUGGAUUAUAUUAUUUGACUUUAUCUUACAUACUGUUUUGUUUUAUGAUUUAAUAGUGUUUUGAGUUUGGUCUGUUUUCCUUAUUUGGACUGUAGGAAUUCUGUCUGUAUCACAGAAAUAAAUUUUUUUAAUUA
rnacentral:lncRNA from 1 species